GUGGGGAAUUUUGGACAAUGGGCGCAAGCCUGAUCCAGCAAUGCCGCGUGCAGGAAGAAGGCCUUCGGGUUGUAAACUGCUUUUGUACGGAACGAAACGGUCCGGGUUAAUACCCUGGGCUAAUGACGGUACCGUAAGAAUAAGCACCGGCUAACUACGUGCCAGCAGCCGCGGUAAUACGUAGGGUGCAAGCGUUAAUCGGAAUUACUGGGCGUAAAGCGUGCGCAGGCGGUUUUGUAAGACAGGCGUGAAAUCCCCGGGCUCAACCUGGGAAUUGCGCUUGUGACUGCAAGGAUGGAGUGCGGCAGAGGGGGAUGGAAUUCCGCGUGUAGCAGUGAAAUGCGUAGAUAUGGGGAGGAACACCGAUGGCGAAGGCAAUCCCCUGGGCCUGCACUGACGCUCAUGCACGAAAGCGUGGGGAGCAAACAGGAUUAGAAACCCCUGUAGUCC
rnacentral:rRNA from 1 species